rnacentral:rRNA from 1 species
AUUGAACGCUGGCGGCAGGCCUAACACAUGCAAGUAGAACGAGUGGCGGACGGGUGAGUAAUGUCUGGGAAACUGCCUGAUGGCGGGGGAUAACUACUGGAAACGGUAGCUAAUACCGCAUAACAUCAGAUGUGCCCAGAUGGGAUGAGCUUAGUGGUGGGGGAACGGCUCACAAAGGCGACGAUCCCUAGCGGGUUUGAGAGGAUGAACAGCCACACUGGAACUGAGACACGGUCCAGACGCCUACGUGAGGCAGCAGAGGGUAAUAUUGCACAAUGGGCGCAAGCCUGAUGCAGCCAUGCCGCGUGUAUGAAGAAGGCUUUCGGGUUGUAAAGUACUUUCAGCGGGGAGGCGUUACCCGCAGAAGAAGCACCGGCUAACUCCGUGCCAGCAGCCGCGGUAAUAC